AAAACACUAGAGGCUCUAAAGAGCCUGUGUCGCUCACCUUGGUCAACAAAGGACACAGAUGGAUUCAUGACAAAAUUGUGUUUUGGUAAUGGUGAUGUGUUUUUAGAUUUUACUUUACUUAACAUUCUUGCUGCUUACAAUUAUCUCUAUCUAUAAUGAACUUGGCUCAGUAGUUUCAGUGGAAAAUGUUUGUGAAAAUCUACAAAUUUAAUGAAAAUUGUUAAAAAUUGACUAUGAAGGGCAAUAACUCCUUAGGGGGUCAAUUGACCAUUUUGGUCGUGUUGACUUAUUUUUAGGUCUUACUUUGCUGAACAUUAUUGCUGUUUACAGUUUAUCUCAAUCUAUUAUAGUAUUCAAGGUAAUAACCAAAAACAGCAAAAUUUCCUUAAAAUUACCAAUUCAGGGGCAGCAACCUAACAACAGGUUGUCCAAUUCAUCUGAAAAUUUCAGGGCUGAUAAAUUUUGACCUGAUAAACAAU
rnacentral:lncRNA from 1 species